rnacentral:rRNA from 1 species
AAUCAACGCUGGCGGCGUGCCUAACACAUGCAAGUCGAACGCGAAAGGGACUUCGGUCCUGAGUAGAGUGGCGAACGGGUGAGUAACGCGUGGGUGAUCUACCCUCGAGUGGGGGAUAACGUUCCGAAAGGGACGCUAAUACCGCAUGAUGUUCCGGGUUUGAAGACCUGGAAACCAAAGCCGGGGACCGCAAGGCCUGGCGCUCAAGGAGGAGCCCGCGUCUGAUUAGCUAGUUGGCGGGGUAAUGGCCCACCAAGGCGACGAUCAGUAGCCGGCCUGAGAGGGCGGACGGCCACACUGGGACUGAGACACGGCCCAGACUCCUACGGGAGGCAGCAGUGGGGAAUUGUUCGCAAUGGGCGCAAGCCUGACGACGCAACGCCGCGUGGAGGAUGAAGGUCUUCGGAUUGUAAACUCCUGUUGAUCGGGACGAAAAGCUUUGACCUAACACGUCAAAGACUGACGGUACCGGUUGAGGAAGCCACGGCUAACUCUGUGCCAGCAGCCGCGGUAAUACAGAGGUGGCAAGCGUUGUUCGGAAUUACUGGGCGUAAAGGGCGCGUAGGCGGCCUUCUAAGUCGGACGUGAAAGCCCCAGGCUUAACCUGGGAACUGCGUCCGAUACUGGAAG